rnacentral:rRNA from 1 species
UAGUCCACGCCGUAAACGAUGUCUACUUGGAGGUUGUGGCCUUGAGCCGUGGCUUUCGGAGCUAACGCGUUAAGUAGACCGCCUGGGGAGUACGGUCGCAAGAUUAAAACUCAAAUGAAUUGACGGGGGCCCGCACAAGCGGUGGAGCAUGUGGUUUAAUUCGAUGCAACGCGAAGAACCUUACCUACUCUUGACAUCCAGAGAAGCGACCAGAGAUGGACGUGUGCCUUCGGGAACUCUGAGACAGGUGCUGCAUGGCUGUCGUCAGCUCGUGUUGUGAAAUGUUGGGUUAAGUCCCGCAACGAGCGCAACCCUUAUCCUUGUUUGCCAGCACUUCGGGUGGGAACUCCAGGGAGACUGCCGGUGAUAAACCGGAGGAAGGUGGGGACGACGUCAAGUCAUCAUGGCCCUUACGAGUAGGGCUACACACGUGCUACAAUGGCGUGAACAGAGGGUAGCGAGACCGCGAGGUGGAGCCAAUCCCAGAAAUCACGUCCCAGUUCGGA